UACAGAGGUCCCAAGCGUUGUUCGGAUUCACUGGGCGUAAAGGGUGCGUAGGUGGUCGGGUAAGUCUGAUGUGAAAUCUCUGGGCUCAACCCAGAAAUGGCAUUGGAUACUAUUCGGCUAGAGGAGUGGAGGGGGGACUGGAAUACUUGGUGUAGCAGUGAAAUGCGUAGAUAUCAAGUGGAACACCAGUGGCGAAGUCAGCUCGCUGGGACGUGACUGACGCUGAGACGCGAAAGCGUGGGGAGCAAACAGG
rnacentral:rRNA from 1 species